CCUACGGGAGGCAGCAGUGGGGAAUAUUGCACAAUGGGGGAAACCCUGAUGCAGCGACGCCGCGUGAAGGAAGAAGUACCUCGGUAUGUAAACCUCUAUCAGCAGGGAAGAAAAUGACGGUACCUGACGAAGAAGCCCCGGCUAACUACGUGCCAGCAGCCAUGGUUAUAUGUAGGGGGCAAGCGUUAUCCGGAUUUACUGGGUGUUAAGGGAGCGUAGGCGGUUUAGCAAGUCAGAAGUGAAAGCCCGGGGUCCAACUCCGGGACUGCUUUUGAAACUGUUGAACUAGAUUGCAGGAGAGGUAGGUGGAAUUCCUGGUGUAGCGGUGAAAUGCGUAGAUAUUAGGAGGAACACCAGUGGCGAAGGCGGCUUGCUGGACUGUAAAUGACGCUGAGGCUCGAAAGCGUGGGGAGCAAACAGGAUUAGAUACCCGUGUAGUC
rnacentral:rRNA from 1 species